UCAGACCCCUCGUGCGGCGUCAUCCCGCUGAACCCCCCCAGGGCCGGAAGGCAGCAAGGGUAGGUGGGCCCUGGCGGGUGUGCGGGGGGUCCCUCGU
rnacentral:SRP_RNA from 1 species